rnacentral:misc_RNA from 1 species
AGAGAGGGAGGGAGAGAGAGAGAGUUCUUCAUUGUUGAGAGGAAGACAUGUGAUAAUAGAGCUAGAAAAACUUAAGAGUGCAUGCUCGGAUAGGAAUAUAGAAUAUCAAAAAAUUAGUUAGAUAGUGAUGGUGAUGAAACAUGUGUUAAUGGCAGUGGUUUUCACGGAAUGAAGAUGGGCCAAUGGACAUGGUAGUAUUGUUGUGUGGUGAAUGGUGUGGAACCGGUGCAAUUGUGAUGACGAAUUUGUGAACUGAUAUUACUCUCUUGGUUCCAGCUAGAAGCAUGAUUCCUUCUGUUUUUACCAAAUUCAUGGUGGCUUUAUAUGUCUCAGUUAAAAAUUUGUUUCGAAGAAAUUUGUUUUGCAUAGUGGCAGGUAACAAUGAUAUGUGAACAGUUAACAAUGUUACGGAUUUAUAUGGCUGCUGCCACUUUUAUUGACACCAUAUAUUAUCUGCAGUAUAUAUUAUUUCAACUCUUUUGGAUAAUUGGUUAUGCGUGCUUUGUGUGGCUGAUGUCUUACUGAGGAUUGUUUAGCAUGUAAUGGAGAACCUUUUUCUUUCUCUAAACAUGAUUUGAAUUUCUAUGAUCUUGCUUAGGUAUCAAGAUCCCUAUUUAUUG